UAGGAUGGCUUGAGGGGCUCUCUUCACACUCCGAAGUGAGGCUGCAGAAUUCAGACGGCGUAUCAGUCGCUCACCCUGCCAGAGAGGGAUACGGUGCAGAGGCCGUCCUGUGCGAUAAGAGCUGGACAGCCCGACCUGCAGAGGACUGGACUGAACUUGAACCGUGGUUAGGCAGUAUGAGGCUGGGAACACAAGGCUCUUACCUGGGAACACCAUCCCGCUGAAGUCGUGAGUCACGCUGGCAUCAACAGCACUCAAAUCAUAGAGAUGGCAUUUGAGAUGUUAAAUAGGUCGGGAGCACCUGAAUGUCACAUACUCCUCACAAAAGAAGACUGCAUCCAUGUGAAUUAUUGUGAAGAGGCAGUGUAUCAGCUAUCCAUACGCUCUGUUGGAGGUUUCAAACUGGACUGAAUUCCUUCGUAAAGUGGUCUCUCACCUCUAUAACGGGACAUGUUGUACUUCAUGGUUACAGAGGUAUGGAUUUCAGCACACACUCCUAAUCCCACAACUCAUAUUUCAGCAUUAAAUGCAGUGUUACAGGUUAAACAUCCUUUAAGGGGCUCCCGGAUGCAACCGGCACAUGCAGCCUGUGAGUAUUUGUUUUCAUGACAUGCACAUUAUGCAAAAAGACAAGCUGUUAUGUGAACAUUUACCUUAUUCUGUACAGUUGUAUCUUGCAUCUGAACUCGUUUAACCAUCACAUUCUUCCAUUCCAACCCAUUUUUUACUCUUAUCACUUUUCCCCUUUGAUUUCCCUCCCCCCUCACUAACACUCUCUGUUCUUUAUCUAAGGGCAGCAGGCCAGGCACACGUGUACAUGCUCUCUGAAGAAGGGCAGUUCAGUGGAAACUAGCGAGCAAACACUCCAAAAAGGACACACGCUCCCUCAAUGUCAGCAAAUAUUUAGUCACAACUUCAAAGAGAAGUGACAGUCCUUUGAAAUUGGGCUCAAGUUGGGCACUAUUAGAGCAGGUGGAAUGCUUUUUAAGAACAAUGUGAUGAUGGCCAUAUAUUCUGAUCUCUUUUACUAAUAAUGAUGUACAGUUUUUGCUUCAUUUCAUAAGGCCAACGUGGCAACAUAUUUUUAGAGGCAGACCAUCAUGUAACAAUGUGCUGCUGUCACCUGCAAGACCGGCUGUUCUAACGGCUCAGAGAAAUGGACUAAUGAGGGCCCUGAAGUGAGUGCGAUGCAUUGAUAAAGUGUCAUUAAAAAAGAUGGAUUGUCACUUAAGCAUUUAUAGCUGCUGUUCAGCUCUUUCUGUUCUCGAAGUGUUCGGAAAUCACCCCUCUAGAUCAGGCUCUGUGGAGUGUGGGCAACAGUUUUUCAUGGGUGACAAAUAUAGUUAAAUGGUGAAAUAUAGAGGUGUACAACUUGUUCUCCCUAAGAGCUUGGUUAAUAGAGAACAGGGCACAGAGCACAUUUAUUUGUAGGUCAGUAUGUAUGUGUUAUUUGUCUGACAGUUUGGCUUUUAAACAGUUUAGUUAAGAGUUCACCCAAAAUCAGAGUAUAUACAGAUGCAUAGGAAAAUAUAAUGUAUGCUUAUGAGACAACGGAGGUUUCAGUAUAGAGACAAAUUAUUUUAUAUUUAUAAAAUAUAAAUUAUAUUUGUAGCAAAUAUAUUGUGUUUUGUUUUUUUUAAUUAAAUAUGUUUUAUACUACUGUUUGAAAAUUUGCGUUUAGUAUGUUUUUUUUGAAUGAAAUUCACUUGACAAUGAAGAAAAUGAAUAAUGUUACAAAUGAUUUCAUUUUCUAAUAAAUGCUUUUCUUUUGAACUUUCUAUUCAUCAAAGAGGUCCUGAAAAAAUUUAUUGUGGUUUCCACAAAAAUAUUAAACAACUGUUUUCAACAUUGUUGAUAAUAAAAAAUGAUCAAUAAGAAUGA